AUACGGAGGGUGCAAGCGUUGUUCGGAAUAACUGGGCGUAAAGCGCACGUAGGCGGAAUGUUAAGUUAGAGGUGAAAUCCCAGGGCUCAACCCUGGAACGGCCUUUAAUACUGGCAAUCUAGAGACCGAGAGAGGUGGGUGGAAUUCCGAGUGUAGAGGUGAAAUUCGUAGAUAUUCGGAGGAACACCAGUGGCGAAGGCGGCUCACUGGCUCGGUACUGACGCUGAGGUGCGAAAGCGUGGGGAGCAAACAGGAUUAGAAACCCGAGUAGUCC
rnacentral:rRNA from 1 species